UACGUAGGGCGCAAGCGUUUGUCCGGAAUUAUUGGGCGUAAAGAGCUCGUAGGCGGUUUGUCGCGUCUGCUGUGAAAACCUAAGGCUCAACCUUGGGCUUGCAGUGGGUACGGGCAGACUGGAGUGUGGUAGGGGAGACUGGAAUUCCUGGUGUAGCGGUGGAAUGCGCAGAUAUCAGGAGGAACACCGAUGGCGAAGGCCAGGUCUCUGGGCCACUACUGACGCUGAGAAGCGAAAGCAUGGGGAGCGAACAG
rnacentral:rRNA from 1 species